rnacentral:rRNA from 1 species
UACGUAGGGUGCAAGCGUUGUCCGGAAUUAUUGGGCGUAAAGAGCUCGUAGGCGGUUUGUCACGUCGGGAGUGAAAACUCGGGGCUUAACCCCGAGCCUGCUUCCGAUACGGGCUGACUAGAGGUAUGCAGGGGAGAACGGAAUUCCUGGUGUAGCGGUGAAAUGCGCAGAUAUCAGGAGGAACACCGGUGGCGAAGGCGGUUCUCUGGGCAUUACCUGACGCUGAGGAGCGAAAGUGUGGGGAGCGAACAGG